GCUAGAGUUCGAUUCUCAUCACAACUAUUUUUGGCUGAACAAACUUUAUUAUUAAAAAACAAAACUAUUAUCCACUAUUACAACCUACUUAGCCCCUUUCUGAUUUUACGAACUACAAAUAAAAACCACCUGUUGGAUUCGAAAUCGAGGUCGUCACGAGAAAGCUAAUAAUUACAAACUAUUGAGACGAUAAAUAAGAUGACAAGAAAAACAUACUAAAACAUAAUAUUACUGAUAUGAUUCAGCCAAUUGAUCUACAUAUUAAUAACCUAAAUAAAAAAUAUAAAAAUUAUUUGAGAGAAAAUCUCCUUCUAAACAAAACUCCUAAACGUGUACAUUGUGGAUGCUAUUGUGCUAUGACUUGAGAAGAGAGAUCUCAUAUUUAUAGAGUUACAAAAACCUUCCUCUAAGGAAGAAUAAACCUAAUAGAAAUGUAAUAGCUGAAGAGAUCUUUUCCUACUAGGAACCUUUUCUACUAAGAAAUCCUUUUCGAAGUAAAACAUAAUUAUGAUACUUGGUAGGAAAUUCACGACAAAUCCUAACAAAUCUCCCCCUCACCUUAUCAUGGUUAAAAAUAAAUUUUAA
rnacentral:lncRNA from 1 species